rnacentral:rRNA from 1 species
AUGGCACAUCAUCGUGGUUCUAGCGGCCAGCCCUUUGACCCAUAUGCCGGAACCAUUGGAGAUCAUUCGCCGGCCGGUCAAAGCUGGAAGAGGGCGAUGGAUUUGUUUUGCGCCAGGGAUGAGCUUUUGCUGGCCAAGUGCAAGGAGAUAUGCUCCUGGUUUCCGAGCGUGAAAUCUCUCGUGAUGCACUUGCUAGGCCUGGCGUUGGAAGUGAUGACGGACGAACGGAAGCGCUUACUUCCUAAAGGCAAGGGGGCAGUCCCAAUUAAGAUUCUCCCGUGGGCAAUGGAAGAGGCGAUGGAGUCUCCAUAUCAUCGACAGCAAGCCCGUCGGUACAAGUACCACUCCCCGCCUUCCCUCACCGAAUCCAAAGGCGGAAGGGCCAGUGAAUUUGCGAAUUAUCCAGGUCAUCGACGAGGUGAUGGAGGAGGAGUAUAG